AGCAGUUGGUAGUUUCCAGCCACAGAUUCGAAUUGGCCAGGGUCAAAAUCUGUCAUUAGAGAUAAAACCUUGAAGUGAAGGCAGUUUUGAUGUUUGAAAUAUUUGUUGAUGUGAGUUUGUGAUUAACAAGUUUAAGAAUGGUAUGUUGCAGAAAUUCUGGCAGAUGCGAAUGUAAGCUUGAUGGCAUCAUUUUCAUAUAACUGCUUGAAAUGCAUAUAUGCCACUAUCAGCAUUGAGCGUCUCGUGAACUGUCAAAUGUCUUAUAGGCCUCACACAGUUGAAAAUAGUGAAAAAAGUAAUCGGUUGACAGGUCUGCAUCUCGUAAGAUAUCGGAAGCCGUCUGACUUGGCCACAUCGCUCGGAAGUCUGAAGUACUAGAAAAAACCGCAUCUGCUACCUUAAGACAUUUGUCAAUUUUUGUCUGCAUCUCGUAAGAUAUCGGAAGCCGUCUGACUUGGCCACAUCGCUCGGAAGUCUGAAGUACUAGAAAAAACCGCCAUCUGCUACCUAUAUU